rnacentral:rRNA from 1 species
AGCUCCAGUAGCGUAUAUUAAAGUUGUUGCAGUUAAAAAGCUCGUAGUUGGAUUUCUGGUUGACCACCCUGGCCCGCGUCCUCACGGGCGUGUGUGCUGGUGUGAGUCUUCCAUCCUUCUAGAGAGCCGUGCCUGCUGUUCACUCAGCUGGGCGUGUGCGAUCUAGAUCAUUUACUUUGAAAAAAUUAGAGUGUUUAAAGCAGGCUUAUGCCAGAAUACAUUAGCAUGGAAUAAUAAAAUAGGACUUUGGUUCUAUUUUGUUGGUUUCUAGAACUGAAGUAAUGAUUGAUAGGGAUAGUUGGGGGUGCUAGUAUUCCGUGGCCAGAGGUGAAAUUCUUGGAUUCACGGAAGACUAACUACUGCGAAAGCAUUCACCAAGGAUGUCUUCU